AAUACUAAAUGCUGUGGUUUUCCUUCUCUGGACAGAGUGACCAAAUCUAUGAUAAUAGCCAUAAGGAAUUAGAGGGAAGGGGCAGAUUGGAAAAUGCAUUCUCUCAGAGAAAGAGGAAGAAGGGCAAGCCUCCAAAUGAAAAGCAAACUUUUAAAGUUGAAGACAACAUGAUGCUGUCAGUACUGCCUGAUAAUGGCUCACAGUUGUUUCUCCUCCGGGUCAAUGGCCUUCCUUCAAAGAGGAUCUGCCUAACAGAAGAGUAUGCUCUGUCUCUUCCCACUCUGGAAUGAUCAAGACCAAAGAUUGGCUGAAAGACAGGUGUAUGAUUCCAGCCCCUUACCUCAAAGAGAGAACAGCUCUAUUGUGCAAUUCCUGUUCCAGAGUUACCUUAUGGGAUUAGAUUGAACUCAGUGGGUGGAUGCAACCACAUCCUUUUUAGAUGUUUUCCUCUGCUCUAUCCAGCUUUUCUUUUCUUGAGAGCACUCCCCCAAUAAAGAACUUGAACACAAA